CCUACGGGCGGCUGCAGUGGGGAAUAUUGGACAAUGGGGGCAACCCUGAUCCAGCCAUGCCGCGUGUGUGAAGAAGGCCCUCGGGUUGUAAAGCACUUUCAGUGAGGAAGAACGCCUGGUGGUUAAUACCCAUCAGGAAAGACAUCACUCACAGAAGAAGCACCGGCUAACUCCGUGCCAGCAGCCGCGGUAAUACGGAGGGUGCGAGCGUUAAUCGGAAUUACUGGGCGUAAAGCGCGCGUAGGUGGCUUGAUAAGCCGGUUGUGAAAGCCCCGGGCUCAACCUGGGAACGGCAUCCGGAACUGGCAAGCUAGAGUGCAGGAGAGGAUGGUAGAAUUCCCGGUGUAGCGGUGAAAUGCGUAGAGAUCGGGAGGAAUACCAGUGGCGAAGGCGGCCUUCUGGACUGACGCUGACACUGAGGUGCGAAAGCGUGGGUAGCAAACAGGAUUAGAUAACCCAGUAGUC
rnacentral:rRNA from 1 species